rfam:Hydnomerulius pinastri MD-312 unplaced genomic scaffold scaffold_31, whole genome shotgun sequence.
GGACAGAUGGCCGAGCGGUCCAAGGCGCCAGACUAAGGAGACCAAGCUGUGAUUGGACGGCUUAAGCGUGUACGAAGUACAAUCUGGUCUCUUUGGAGGCGUGAGUUCGAAUCUCACUCUGUUCA